rnacentral:tRNA from 1 species
AUUAGGAUGGCAGAUCAGUGCAUAGGAUUUAAGAUUCUAUUAGGAAAUUAUUAUUUCUUCUAAUA